rnacentral:rRNA from 1 species
AUGUUGUCUCAACAAACUGACUUGUGUUUAUGGCGACUUUUUUAUGUGUCCAUGGAUCAGAGAGGAUGGAUGAUGCAGUGGCCACAUCAAGCGCCCUGUGCUCGACGACAAUGGAAAUGCAGUUUCUCAGAGCUAGCAGGAAGGAGGCUGAUGGCUUCCCGUUGUAGUAAGAGACAACACACCAGAUCCGUUGAUGAAGAAAACCACACAUUUCACGAUAUGAUGAUUGGUACUUCCAGUUUUGUUGUACUCUCUCAUUUGCCUUUGUGGGAACGACACUGCUCUAUUGCUUGCUUAUUUAAGAUCAUGCAUAUAUGCCGCAUGUCAGCCUCAUGGGGAUCAAACAGAUGA